AUCUGAAUAUCAUCUAAAUUAUCUUUUAUGUUGGGAGGCUUACAAAGUAAAGCAAAAGGCAAGAGAAUUUAGUAAACAUCCACAUUGUUUUUUUUUAAUGUAGAUCACUAACACUGUGUCUUAUUUCCUUGAAGUCAUUUUUUCCUUUUAAAAUACUUUCUGAAAAGAAUCAAAGCCUUUAGGAUGUUUAUGUCCCUUUUGAUCAUCAGUCUUAUCUCUUUUGAUGUUCCAUGAAAAGCACCAGCUUUCUAAGUUGAUUUUGUAUAUCUUUGUAGAUAGAUGUGGUCAGUAAUGAACAUUAGCAGUUACUACUGUUUUGUAUAUAGUUGAAGUUUUCUAUAACUGUCACAAAGUAUACAAUGCUCUACAACUUUCUAUCUGCUGAUAGAUAAGCCUAGUUCCAUUUUUUUCUAGGUGUUACAUAACAUUCAAAGCACUUUAAAAUUUAAAUAGCCAAAACAGUCUGGAGGAAAAUGAACAAAGCUGGAGUCCACAAGAUCCAGCUUUAAAACAUACCAUAGAGCCAUGGUAACCAGAACUGUAUGGUACUCGCAUAAACAUUGACAUAUAGAACAAUAGUAUAGAAUAGAAAAAUAGACAUAAAUGUAGAUAUAUAAUCUAGCUCAUUUGAAUAAACUCAGCAAGAAUGUACUUUAGAUAAAUAAAGAAUAUUCUCUUCCCCACAAGAAAUGGUGCUGGGUAGACCAGAUAUCCAUAUGUAAGAGACAACUCAAAAUAGAUCAUUGAGUCCAAUAUAAAACCACUAAUAGUAAAUGAGUAGAAUUAAACAUAAGAAAGUACUUCAGGGCUUUGUUUUGGGCAAAGGUUUCUCUACUUAUGACAGCCAAAGCAUACAGCAAAACAAAACUUGACAAAUGGGAGGACUGUUAAGAAAAAUCCUUCUCAGCUUUGUACUUAGCUUUUUUUUUCUGGGGAGGGUAUUCUUUAAGCAUAUAUUAAUUAUACAAAAUAGCAGGUCUCAUUACAAUACUUUCUUAACUGUACAUAAUAUAUUCCAUAAUACUCACCCAGCCCAUUGUCAUCUUUUGUCUCCUGGGGAUCCUCUUCCUCUUCUGAACCAUCCACUUCAACUUCCACAUCUGUUUCUGUGACCCAUUGAGCUUCCUUAACAGUGUUCAUAAAAGCAUAGAUGAGGGCUUACUUCCAAGAGGAUCAACACCCUAUCAGUGGCUUUACAAGUGAACAAUUAUCUUUCCUUAUUCCAGCAAUAUUAACUACAUGUAAAACCUCAGCUAUGAUUGGUAUCCUAGAAACCCAUUCAUCUUCCAUGAUGUGGUGAUAUUAUUCUGAUCUCAUGCAGAUCUUCUGCAGGUCAUCAGAGCUGCUAUGAGCUCAAGGCUGUAACAGUUGUGGCAUCCCAGAAGUUGUAAUUCCACAUGCUCCCUCUCCCACACUCCAGCUUUCCCUUAGUGCUGAGUGGGUAAUAUAAAUGUCUUAUUUAUGAUCAGCAGGCACUCAACAGUUGUUUAUGCUUAACAUUUCCAUCAGGUAUGAGUCUUUGUAGUCAUUGCUGCUGCACACUGUAAACC
rnacentral:lncRNA from 1 species